rnacentral:rRNA from 1 species
GACGAACGCUGGCGGCGUGCCUAAUACAUGCAAGUCGAGCGCAGGAAACUGACGGAACUCUUCGGAGGGAAGGCAGUGGAAUGAGCGGCGGACGGGUGAGUAACACGUAAGGAACCUGCCUCAAGGAUUGGGAUAACUCCGAGAAAUCGGAGCUAAUACCGGAUAGUUCAACGGACCGCAUGGUCCGCUGAUGAAAGGCGCUCCGGCGUCACCUUGAGAUGGCCUUGCGGUGCAUUAGCUAGUUGGUGGGGUAACGGCCCACCAAGGCGACGCUGCAUAGCCGACCUGAGAGGGUGAUCGGCCACACUGGGACUGAGACACGGCCCAGACUCCUACGGGAGGCAGCAGUAGGGAAUCUUCCACAAUGGACGAAAGUCUGAUGGAGCAACGCCGCGUGAGUGAUGAAGGUUUUCGGAUCGUAAAACUCUGUUGUAAGGGAAGAACACGUACGAGAGGAAAUGCUCGUACCUUGACGGUACCUUACGAGAAAGCCACGGUUAACUACGUGCCAGCCGCCGCCGCGGUAA